AUUUAGAUUACAACAUUGAUGAUGACAAAGUGCUGAAGACGAUGAAGUCGCCUAUAUGUACGUCGCACAUGUUUACCCCUCCUUUUCCUCCCUAAGAUUUCAGUGUCAUUUUUUAAACAUGCACUCAAUUUUGAUUUAUGUGUUUAGUUUUGAUUGGAAUUCAUCAUUGAUAAAAAUGAUCAUUUAAUUUAUAGAUAAAUAUACUAGCAAUUGACAGUAAGGUUCUAAAGAUUUAGUUUAACGUGAGUGUGAAAGAGAAGUGCUAUUGAAAACAAAUGUAGUAUUUAUGUGGACAUGGAAGUUGGGAAAAACAUUCUUCAAUAUGAAAAUUUGGAUUUGUUUACUUGCAUCUUGGAAUGAAAAUUGAUUUUAGAUUUGUUAAUUUAGUAGUUUCAUUCUUUAUCAAUCAAUUAGUGAGUUUGUUGACUUCUCCUCUUCUUCUAAGAGAGGCAUAAACCUUUUUUUUCUUCCUCACGAACCCAUUCUGAUCUGUCUUCAAUUUGGUUGAUCGGAUUUUAGUUGUAGCUACUGGCUGAAUGAUCUAAUUAGAGAGAUUAAAAAUCCACCAGAAUUCCAUACGAGGACCUUAGAAAUCGUUCAUAAGACUAUCAAGUGCACAGAUUUGGGACGCUGCUUAGGUAAUUUGACAUUGUUAAAAAACAGAUGGAUUUGAUAUGUUUAUCCGUGUAUAUAUAUGAUAACUUUUAUGUUAGAAUUAUCAGGAGAUACAUCGUCUGAUUAGCAUAUUCUAUAUAUGUUGCUCCUCAAUUUUAAUCUACUUUGUCAGUGUCUACGGAUUAUUCAAUGGUCUGUACCAUAUUUAUGUAAAUACUAAGAUAUAAUUACUUCCAUAUGUCGUACAAGUAUCAAAAUAACUCAACAACUUAUGACAUAUAUAGCAUUUGAUGCAACACAUUAUUGGUCAGUUGUUAGAUGGCCAGGAAAAGUUUAAUGUAGAAGACAUAGACUAGGCGACAUUUCAAAUUAAGAUUUUCUCAUGUAACUAAUCACCCGGUAAUGAUAUAUAAGAUCACAAGUACAGCCUAUCAGCAACAUGGCUCGGACUCACUCAUGUUAAAUACAGAUACUUGCCAAGUGGAGAGCAUAUAACGUACAACACCCACAUUUGUUGACACUUUUUUUUUAAUGAUGAUUAGGAAAAUCUGCGGCCACUACCCUUUGGAUGCACACAAGGGAUCUAGAAGGCAAAUUCAUUGCUUUCACUGGCAAGGAGUUUUGAACUUGAGACCUCCAACACUUCUGGUUAUUAAGGAAUCUGGUCCAGUAUUGGAGCAGUUACCAUCUCCUGAUAUCAACAUGUAUAGAGUAACAUAUUCUGUGUGUAUAGCUACACUAGAUUAUAAUAUUUUUUUGGUCUGGUUUCUUUUAAUUGAAUAUUCUAGAAGAAAAAAUCAGUGAAAGAAUGACACAAAAUCUUCUGCGGGGC
rnacentral:lncRNA from 1 species